rnacentral:rRNA from 1 species
ACGAACGCUGGCGGCGUGCUUAACACAUGCAAGUCGAACGGGUCUGCCCUGUUUUUUGCGGGGUGGGUCAGUGGCGAACGGGUGAGUAACACGUGAGUAACCUGCCCCUCACUUCUGGAUAACCGCUUGAAAGGGUGGCUAAUACGGGGUGUUCUGGCUGUGCCGCAUGGUGUGGCUGGGAAAGAUUCACUUUUGUGGUGUUUUGGUGGGGGAUGGGCUCGCGGCCUAUCAGCUUGUUGGUGGGGUGAUGGCCUGCCAAGGCUUUGACGGGUAGCCGGCCUGAGAGGGUGGGCGGUCACACUGGGACUGAGAUACGGCCCAGACUCCGGCGGGAGGCAGCAGGGGGGGGUAUUGCACAAUGGGCGGAAGCCUGAUGCAGCGACGUCGCGUGAGGGAUGGAGGCCUUCGGGUUGUGAACCUCUUUCGCCGGUGAAGAAGGUCCUGCUCUUUGUGGUGGGGUUGACGGUAGCCGGGUUAUGAAGCGCCGGCUAACUACGUG